rnacentral:rRNA from 1 species
UGGGGAAUAUUGCACAAUGGGCGCAAGCCUGAUGCAGCCAUGCCGCGUGUGUGAAGAAGGCCUUCGGGUUGUAAAGCACUUUCAGCGAGGAGGAAGGGUGGUGUGUUAAUAGCACAUUGCAUUGACGUUACUCGCAGAAGAAGCACCGGCUAACUCCGUGCCAGCAGCCGCGGUAAUACGGAGGGUGCAAGCGUUAAUCGGAAUUACUGGGCGUAAAGCGCACGCAGGCGGUUUGUUAAGUCAGAUGUGAAAUCCCCGCGCUUAACGUGGGAACUGCAUUUGAAACUGGCAAGCUAGAGUCUUGUAGAGGGGGGUAGAAUUCCAGGUGUAGCGGUGAAAUGCGUAGAGAUCUGGAGGAAUACCGGUGGCGAAGGCGGCCCCCUGGANAAAGACUGAC